UACGUAGGCGGAAAAUUAAGUCAGUGGUGAAAUCCUGCAGCUUAACUGUAGAACUGUCAUUGAUACUGGUUUUCUUGAAUAUAGUUGAGGUAGGCGGAAUGUGUAAUGUAGCGGUGAAAUGCUUAGAUAUUACACAGAACACCGAUUGCGAAGGCAGCUUACUAAGCUAUGAUUGACGCUGAGGUACGAAAGUGUGGGGAGCGAACAGGAUUAGAACCCUGGUAGUCC
rnacentral:rRNA from 1 species